rnacentral:miRNA from 1 species
UUGCGUUCCACUGAUUCUUUCG